UUGUGGAGGAGGACGCCGAAGGUGGGGCUAAUGACUGGGGUGAAGUCGUAACAAGGUAGCCGUACCGGAAGGUGCGGCUGGAUCACCUCCUAACAGGGAGACAACAAAAUGUUUAAUAUUAUUAUUUUGUCACCUUAGGUCGAUCGGUAUCUCACGUUCUUAAUUUAUUAAGAAUUUCAUUUCCUAAGUUUUUCUAGGUCACACCCAUUAUUUUUCCUGGGCCAUUAGCUCAGGUGGUUAGAGCGCACCCCUGAUAAGGGUGAGGUCCCUGGUUCAAGUCCAGGAUGGCCCAUAUCUCUAUGUUGGGGGUAUAGCUCAGUUGGUAGAGCGCCUGCUUUGCAAGCAGGAUGUCAGCGGUUCGAGUCCGCUUACCUCCACUGAUUACCACCUCUUCCAUAAUCUGUAUAAAGGAAAUGUUUUGAGUCGUGAUCAAAUUCUGAACGAAUCUAGCUUCCUAAUGAAAUCAUUAAGAUGCUGGACUCAUUGAAUUAAUUUCAUUGUUUUCAGAGAACCUUGACAACUGCAUAGAUUAUUUUUAAAGACAAUAAGCAUCUUUAAUGAUGCAGAUUUAUUAUUUGUGCGAAUGCAUUAAUAACAAUUCUAUUAAGCUGAUGCUUCAAUUUUGAAGUUAUUGGUCAAGCUACAA
rnacentral:misc_RNA from 1 species